rnacentral:rRNA from 1 species
AUUGAACGCUGGCGGCAUGCCUUACACAUGCAAGUCGAACGGCAGCACGGGUGCUUGCACCUUGUGGCGAGUGGCGAACGGGUGAGUAAUACAUCGGAACAUGUCCUGUAGUGGGGGAUAGCCCGGCGAAAGCCGGAUUAAUACCGCAUACGAUCUACGGAUGAAAGCGGGGGCCCUUCGGGCCUCGCGCUAUAGGGUUGGCCGAUGGCUGAUUAGCUAGUUGGUGGGGUAAAGGCCUACCAAGGCGACGAUCAGUAGAUGGUCUGAGAGGACGACCAGCCACACGGGGACUGAGACACGGCCCAGACUCCUACGGGAGGCAGCAGUGGGGAAUUUUGGACAAUGGGCGAAAGCCUGAUCCAGCAAUGCCGCGUGUGUGAAGAAGGCCUUCGGGUUGGAAAGCACUUUUGUCCGGAAAGAAAUCCUUGGCUCUAAUACAGUCGGGGGAUGACGGUACCGGAAGAAUAAGCACCGGCUAACUACGUG